GGGGGUAGGUGCACACUUGUCAUUUUUAUUUUUCCUCUUGUGCACAUUAUGUAGACUCUAGAGCUUUAUUGAUUCAUUCAGAAUAAAGGAUUGCUGUGAUUUUUAUUCCAGCUUUGCCUUUGAUUAAUCUGAGUCUAUGUUUUUUCAUAAUCUCUUGAAAUAGUAUUAGAAUGUUGGGAUGUUGGGUCUUUGUACCUAUAAUAAAGUUCAAUACAACUUUCAGCAAUGGAUCUCUUGGCUCUCGCAUCGAUGAAGAACGCAGCGAAAUGCGAUAAGUAAUGUGAAUUGCAGAAUUCAGUGAAUCAUCGAAUCUUUGAACGCAUCUUGCGCUUUUUGGUAUUCCAAGAAGCAUGCCUGUUUGAGUGUCAUUAAAUUCUCAAUCAUAUCAAUUGCUCUUUUGAUAUGGCUGGAUUUUGGGGGUUUUGCUUUUGCAGGUCUUUAAUUAUUGAAUGAAAGUCUGCUCCCCUUAAAUUUAUUAGUGGUUUACCUUUGGCAGAGCCUACUGAUGGUAUGAUAAUUGUCUAUGCCUUUUGGUAGUGUCCUUGUGUUUAAAGCUGCUUCUAAUAAGUGAUACUUUGAUACA
rnacentral:sRNA from 1 species